CAUUACUAAACAGGGCAUUGCGAUUGAUAGCCCUUGAAUCUCUCCCAAGCCUCACAAAAUGUCUCGUUGUGCUUUUAGGCAAAACUGGAUAUCUCAUUCCGGAGACG
rfam:Capsella rubella cultivar Monte Gargano unplaced genomic scaffold scaffold_4, whole genome shotgun sequence.